rnacentral:rRNA from 1 species
UGGGGAAUUUUGGACAAUGGGGGAAACCCUGAUCCAGCCAUCCCGCGUGUGCGAUGAAGGCCUUCGGGUUGUAAAGCACUUUUGGCAGGAAAGAAACGUCGCGGGUUAAUACCCCGCGAAACUGACGGUACCUGCAGAAUAAGCACCGGCUAACUACGUGCCAGCAGCCGCGGUAAUACGUAGGGUGCAAGCGUUAAUCGGAAUUACUGGGCGUAAAGCGUGCGCAGGCGGUUCGGAAAGAAAGAUGUGAAAUCCCAGAGCUUAACUUUGGAACUGCAUUUUUAACUACCGGGCUAGAGUGUGUCAGAGGGAGGUGGAAUUCCGCGUGUAGCAGUGAAAUGCGUAGAUAUGCGGAGGAACACCGAUGGCGAAGGCAGCCUCCUGGGAUAACACUGACGCUCAUGCACGAAAGCGUGGGGGAGCAAACAGGAUUAGAUACCCUGGUAGUCCACGCCCCUAAACGAUGUCAACUAGCUGUUGGGGCCUUCGGGCCUUGGUAGCGCAGCUAACGCGUGAAGUUGACCGCCUGGGGAGUACGGUCG